GACGAACGCUGGCGGCGUGCUUAACACAUGCAAGUCGAACGGAAAGGCCCUGCUUUUGUGGGGUGCUCGAGUGGCGAACGGGUGAGUAACACGUGAGUAACCUGCCCUUGACUUUGGGAUAACUUCAGGAAACUGGGGCUAAUACCGGAUAUGAGCUCCUGCUGCAUGGGGGGGGUGGGAAAGUUUCGGCGGUUGGGGAUGGACUCGCGGCUUAUCAGCUUGUUGGUGGGGUAGUGGCUUACCAAGGCUUUGACGGGUAGCCGGCCUGAGAGGGUGACCGGCCACAUUGGGACUGAGAUACGGCCCAGACUCCUACGGGAGGCAGCAGUGGGGAAUAUUGCACAAUGGGCGGAAGCCUGAUGCAGCAACGCCGCGUGCGGGAUGACGGCCUUCGGGUUGUAAACCGCUUUCGCCUGUGACGAAGCGUGAGUGACGGUAAUGGGUAAAGAAGCACCGGCUAACUACGUG
rnacentral:rRNA from 1 species